CCUACGGGUGGCUGCAGUGAGGAAUCUUUGUCAAUGGCCGGAAGGCUGAACCAGCCAAGCCGCGUGAAGGACGAAGGUGCCACGCAUUGUAAACUUCUUUUGUCAAGGGACAAAAUCAGGCUCGAGAGCCUCACCGAGGGGACUUGACUAACAAGCAUCGGCUAACUCCGUGCCAGCAGCCGCGGUAAUACGUAGUCUGCGUGCGUUAUCCGGAUUUAUGGGGUUAAAGGGGUUCGUGGCAGGACUGUUAUGUCAGCGGUAAACGCCCGGGGCUCAUCCCCGACGAGCCGUUGAAACUGGCAGUCUGGAGAGGGCGAGAGGAAUGCGGAAUGCGCAGUGUAGCGGUGAAAUGCUUAGAUAUUGCGCAGAACUCCGAUGGCGAAGGCAGCAAACUGGCGGAGAUCUGACGCUGAGGCACGAAAGCGUGGGUAUCGAACAGGAUUAGAUACCCGGGUAGUC
rnacentral:rRNA from 1 species